AGUGAACGCUGGCGGUAGGCCUAACACAUGCAAGUCGAACGGCAGCACAGUAAGAGCUUGCUCUUACGGGUGGCGAGUGGCGGACGGGUGAGGAAUACAUCGGAAUCUACUUUUUCGUGGGGGAUAACGUAGGGAAACUUACGCUAAUACCGCAUACGACCUACGGGUGAAAGCAGUGGAUCUUCGGACCUUUCGCGAUUGAAUGAGCCGAUGUCGGAUUAGCUAGUUGGCGGGGUAAAGGCCCACCAAGACGACGAUCCGUAGCUGGUCUGAGAGGAUGAUCAGCCACACUGGAACUGAGACACGGUCCAGACUCCUACGGGAGGCAGCAGUGGGGAAUAUUGGACAAUGGGCGCAAGCCUGAUCCAGCCAUACCGCGUGGGUGAAGAAGGCCUUCGGGUUGUAAAGCCCUUUUGUUGGGAAAGAAAAGCAGCAGGUUAAUACCCCGCUGUUCUGACGGUACCCAAAGAAUAAGCACCGGCUAACUUCGUG
rnacentral:rRNA from 1 species